rnacentral:rRNA from 1 species
UACGUAGGGUGCGAGCGUUGUCCGGAAUUAUUGGGCGUAAAGAGCUUGUAGGCGGUUUGUCGCGUCUGCUGUGAAAUUUCGGGGCUCAACCCCGAACUUGCAGUGGGUACGGGCAGACUAGAGUGUGGUAGGGGAGACUGGAAUUCUUGGUGUAGCGGUGAAAUGCGUAGAUAUCAAGAGGAACACCUGCGGCGAAGGCGGGUUGCUGGGCCGACACUGACGCUGAGGCGCGAAAGCCAGGGGAGCGAACGGG